UACGAAGGGGGCUAGCGUUGCUCGGAAUUACUGGGCGUAAAGGGAGCGUAGGCGGGUUAUCAAGUUGGAGGUGAAAGCCCAGGGCUCAACCUUGGAAUUGCCUUCAAAACUGAUAGCCUAGAGUAUGAUAGAGGUAUGUGGAACUCCGAGUGUAGAGGUGAAAUUCGUAGAUAUUCGGAAGAACACCAGUGGCGAAGGCGACAUACUGGGUCAUGACUGACGCUGAGGCUCGAAAGCGUGGGGAGCAACAGG
rnacentral:rRNA from 1 species